rnacentral:tRNA from 1 species
GGGAGGGCAGGAUGCCUGGCAUUCGUGACCAGUAGCCGGGGAAGACCGGCAGAGGGGUUCAAAUCCCCUCCCUCCCG